AUUAUGGUGUUUUGUGCCGCCUACGGGUGUUCAAGCCGUCAGGAGACGGGGUGUGGACUGAGUUUUUUUUCCCAGUUUUCCAAAGAAAAGUGUGAGGAAAAAAGACUUGGUAAAUAUUUUACCGUCGAGAGGAUAGUGUGUCAACGUAAAACAGUCGUCUGUGUUCUGUGCACUUUUCUAAGGAUCAGUCGGACAGAGACUCUGAUUAGCUGCGAGAAAAAGGGUAUGAUGGAGCGAAAAUUCGAUUGAAAAGUGAUGCCAACCCGGAUAUCCCCUUUCUUCUUCAGCAACCCCAGGAACAAAUUGUUGCCAUUUCUCUGCCCCCAGCGAAGCCUAGAGGAGCGUUUGCAAAGCGCCAGAGAGCAGACAUACUACGCCAAGUUCUUUAAGAGGUGGAAACAAGAAAUGAAGGACAGUGCAACUGACCAGGAAGACCCUAAGUGCCACCCCCUGUACCGAAAGAUACCUCACCAGCCGACGAAGAAACUGUUGUUGCCACCUCCACCCGGAUGGAGAAGAAAUGCCAGGUUGAUAUCCGUCCGCCACAGAGGACACGUACGAUUGAAGUCUCCAUGACUGAUCAGAAGACUGUGUCGACUGGAGUUCAGUGCUCGAGCCUAUCUGACGGUGUACCACUGCGAGUUGCUGCCGGUUAAGCACCCCAACCUGUGCGGCCACAUCCUGGAGAGAAUGACAUUGACAGUGACGAGGAUGACAGUGGUGACCAUGACACGGAUUGUGACCCAUUAGACAAGACGGGGGAUGUUGAAAACUAUCAUCAUGCUACUUAUACCCUGAGGAGUGAUACCCCGCCAGUAGAAGAAAGACAGUUUCUUGUGUCUUAGUCCUGCUGGAAAAUGUGACUUAUGUGAAGUGCCAUGUGAGCCAGUUGUGCAGUUUACCAAAUCUGUAACUAUGACAUUUUUUGAUUAUGUGGACAUCUUGCGGCUGAAACUUGUAGUGCGCAGACGACAGAUAUCCUCAUGUCCAGCAGCUACACAGGAUGGAAAAGCCUCUCUUGGAUAUCAGCCACCACUUCUUACGCCAGCCUACGCUGCAGUCAACAAGGACCAGCUCGUCGCCAUACUCCGCACCAGGUUUGCCAGAUAAAGUCUAUGAAGCCAGCCAUGAGAUUGCUGAAAGCCAGUGUAGUUCUCUGAUGGGAAUGUCCUCCGUAUGGUUGUCACAACACAUGCUGGCAAAACUUUUCGGUUUCCCCUUCCUAGACAUAUCCAGAGGACAAAUAUUCUAAAGGCAAUGUGUCGAUAUACCCUGUAUAUAUUAAACAAUCAAUUAUUGGUUGUGAUACAGAAUAUAUCAGUUGUAAGAGAU
rnacentral:misc_RNA from 1 species